rnacentral:rRNA from 1 species
AGCGAACGCUGGCGGCAGGCCUAAUACAUGCAAGUCGAACGGCUCUACGGAGCAGUGGCGGACGGGCGAGUACGGCGUGGGAAUGUGCGCUUUGGUACGGACCUACACAGGGAAACUAGUGCUUAUACCGUAUGGGUCAUACGGGGUACAGGUUUAUUGACAUUGGAGCUGCCCGCGUUGGAUUAGCUAGUUGGUGGGGUAAAGGCCCACCAAGGCAACACUACAUAGUAGGUCUGAGAGGAUGAGCAGCCACACGUGGACUGAGACACGGCGCAGACUCCUACGGGAGGCAGCAGUAGGGAAUCUAGCGCAAUGGGCGAAAGGCAGACGGAGCCAUGCCUCGUGAAUGAUUAAGGUCUUAGGAUUGUAAAAUUCUUUCACCGGUUAAGAUAAUGACGUUACCCGGAGAAGAAGCCCCGGCUAACUUCGUGCCAGCCGCCGCAGUAAAAC